AACGCACAUUGCGCCCGCCAGCAUUCUGGCGGGCAUGCCUGUUCGAGCGUCAUUUCAACCCUCAAGCCCCCCCGGGGGCCUGGUGUUGGGGACCGGCCCCGCCCCGUCGCGGGUCGCCGCCCCCUAAAUUCAGUGGCGGUCCUGCCGCAGCCUCCUCUGCGUAGUAGCUUUUGAAACCUCGCACCGGAGAGCGGCUCGGCCACGCCGUUAAACCCCAACUUUCUAGAGUUUGACCUCGGAUCAGGUAGGAAUACCCGCUGAACUUAA
rnacentral:misc_RNA from 1 species